GCGGAACCUGAAUAGAAAAAAGUAGAGAGCGAGAACGCCCGUGUUUAGUCGUGUCGACGUGAUUCGCUUUUGUCUAUUUACAUUACUGGGAUUAAGAGGCCAGUUUCACUAGGCGAUCAAUUAAAUAAAGGGGGGAAUAAUAAGAUUACAUGGUGUAUACAAAUCAUGGGUUAGGUUGAACUUUUGUGAAACUUUUCUGUCCCUCGAUCGUGUGUGAUCGAUAAUCAUCAUUCAGCGGCAGAUUUUUGGGAAGGAUAGAUACACGAAGAACAGUCGUCCUUUCUUUCUUUGCUCUGCUACUGGUGCCGCUUUAUUUAUUGGUGGCAAAUGAGACAAGUUCGUUCUACUGAGGCUAGAAAAAGGGAGACAGCUCCAGCGGUGUUCACGAGCAACCUACUUUGAUGUGCCUACGGGUUUCGAAAGAAAAUAUUUUCGGUGGUGAUAAGAUGCCGAUAAGACAUACGGGAAAACCUGGCAGCGUCGAUGAACCGAUUGUGGCCUCGUACCUAUCAAAAAAAAAAAGAAAAAAAAGAAAAGAAAAAAGGUAAGUAUAAAAUAAAGCUCUUACUGAAACAUACACUUAGGAAUACGUACAUUGAGGAAAGAAAUAAAGAAAAGGCCAUAAGUAGAUAUAUGGGAAUGAAAAGAAAAAUAACGUUGCACAUGUUACAAUUUACAACGAAGGUACGAAAGCAAAAAUAAUUUCGGAACUAUGAGAGGACAAAGGCUGUGCACAAUGACUCAUCAAAUUAGUACGAUCUAUUCGGAAAUUUUGAAAUUGUUUGAAACUUGAAUAAAUAUGUUUGGACAAUUUGUAAGUUUUCUUACAGAAAAUAUUGAAUUUUUUCUCUUUCUAUUCAUCUUUUUUUCUCUAACACUUUGUUCGACCAAAAGAGAGAUAUUACUUGUUUCAAUUUCGUUACCCGUCCAUUAUAACGAUCUGAAACUUGUACAAAAUUAUUGAAAAAUCGAAAUUUGUCAUUUUUCUUAUCUGAUCAUAAUAAUUCGAUUAUUUACUGUUGCAAUUGAUUGACGAAAUUUUGAACGAAAGUUUCGUGGUGAAAGACACAGGACGACAUUCUUGUUGGUCGAAAUCGUGAUGUUUGAUUUUCGGUCAUGAAAAGUCGGGACACGUUGUCACGGUAAUUUUUAGGCUGAAUUGGACAACUCAGAAAUUUCCUGCUUGAUCCGUAAUUAUACCGUUUGCCCAUUGAGAGCGUCAAAGUUUAAAUUACUGGUUAUCCAUCGACGUACUCUGAUGGGAUACGAGCGAAGAAUAACAAAUCAGUAUACGUAAAUAGGUAAGUAGUCUUCGGCAUGCGUUUCAGUCUGUUCCCUUCGUCGUUUCAUUGUCCUGGGAAAAUAAGCGGAUUCUUCCCGCGGGAUUUUCUAGAAGAAUGCUAAAGAAAAUGAAAGAUCGUGGAUUAAGAAAAUAUAGAAUAGAAUUCUUUUUUUACAUAAUUUCUCUAUUAACAAGAAUUUCUUAAUUUAUGUAAUUGAUACCGAUCCGUGGUUAAUAUGAACUUUCAAAAUACGAAUCAUCCAAAAUUUGCUGGAAAAUUAAGGAAGAAGAUAUUUCUUAAUUUCCAAAUUCCACGAAAAUCUAAUUCGUUUAUUAUACCAAGUGAGAGGCAGAGAAUUUCGGUGAAAGUGGUCGGUUUAUGGUCGGGCAUGAUUUGCCUCUCCUGGGCUGCAAGAUAUUUUUUCUACUUAUUAUUCAUGACUCUUUCAAGGUCUUCUAGAGAUAUUACGAAAUGUACAAUAUUCUGAGACAAUUUUUCUAUUAUUAAGAAUUUUCUAAUCUCACGAAAGGGACAUUUUUAAAGGUCGUGUCGAGCAGAACACUGAAAAUUCCAACAAUGAUGGCCAAUGUGAUGUGAUCAGACGCGUCUUUCUUUCUAUUUUAUCCACGAUGUUCCAAAGUUUCCUAGAAACAUUAAGAAACUUAAAACAGGAUCUUGCGAGAUUAUUUUCCCAAUUUAGAAAGUAAUGUAAAAAUUUGUCAAUCUUACAAAAAAAAAGUACCGAGUAAGAUACCGACAAUUCCAAUAUGCUGGUGGCCAAUUUAUAAUCAGAUUGUGGUAAUUUAUUCCACGGACUUUCUGAAAUAUAGCUGGCAAAAUAUUUUCCUGUUAUCCACGAAUCUUUCAAUAUUCCUCUAAAACAGCAAAAAAUCACAAGCAACCAAAUUUUCGUAAUUCUAAAUCGCAGUAACCAGGUAAAUGAUGAGAUUUCGCACGAUGGAAUUUCUAUUCGGCCCCAAUCGUGGUUCAUCGACGCAACGUUUAGAUGAUACAGUAGUAUAAAUGGUAAACGAGCUGCCUGAUUAACUGUGGGAAUGCCAUCGAGCGAUCAACUCGCACCACUCGAUCGGAGUAAGGCCAGAGAAGAGAGAAGAGAAAAAGAAAAAAUAAAAAAGAAGAUAGAGAAGAAAAUAAAAAAGUAUACCGCCACGUUCGUCUUAAUCUCAUCGUUCUAAAUUCAAUAUCAUUAUUAAAAACGUACUCUACGAAUCUAUCAUGCACGAUAACAUGCCACGAGGUCGAGGUUUCUAAAAAACGGUCGAUUAAAAGUUAGACAAAAACUCGAAUAACUGUUAGAGGAUCGUUGGCAGUCUGGCAGUUUUUCAAGCAGCUACUUGGCAUCGUUAUAUAUAUGUACAUAUAUAUAUGUAUUAAAAUAUACGUAUACAUAUUACAUAUAUAUGUAUAUAUAUAAAUACAGGUGACAGAGAGAAACUUGAAUCCUAGAGUGUGUACGUCACAUGCAUUCGGCGUUGCAUAAAAUCGUAAAAGGAUCGGAUGCUCGAGGCGCGAUGGAGGACUCUGGUAUUUCUUUCAAACGGAUUUGUAGACUUCUUAGUUUUUCUUCUUUUAAUAAAAAAGAAAUAAAAAAAAUGCGAGGCACUGAGAGAAAAAGUGGACUAGUCCUAAGACUUCGCAAAUUGGAUAAUCCUCUAUCUAAAAUAUAUAUGCAAAUAAUUCAAUGCAACAACUGAUUCCAUUAGGUAUUAUCUGGUCUGAUUUGGAAACAAUGAUUUUUGCAUGAUUCAUCCUUAAAAGCUAUCAUAAAAAAAGAGAGCACGUCAUGACAUUUUGCAUCACUUUAUUCUUUUUCCAUUUUGCAAAUCAAUGAAUUCAAACAGAGUGCAAUUACUCUUCAAUGUUACUAUUCAAUUAUUACUAUUCAAUGUUAGGCGAAGUAACAUUGAAAGGAAUUUAACCCAAUGAUAGUUUUUAAGAGUUAAUACAGCUCAGUGCAAUAAAUUAACACAUAGAACUAUCGAUCUUUGAUAUGGUAUACGUAAUUAAUUGGAAUUAAGGUAGUGUGAUGAAAGUAGAUUAUAUUUUUGUUACAAUAAAAGUAAAUACUAUCGAAAGUUAAUACUAUGAAAAACAGUUGCAUGCUUUUGGUAAUCGUAAAAAGCAAAAAAUACUAGUCAUUCUGACUGGUUUAGUAAUUCUAGUGUCAAUGUAAUAAAUUCCAAUGUAAUAAAUUCACGUUUAGAAAAAAUGUGACUUGGUCCAUUUUUGCUCUCAAUACGUCAUAUCGUUCUGUUAACGUUUGCGACCGUGCCGUUUUAUCAAGAAGCAGCAAUAAAACAGUAAAAUUGCUCUUAAGUAAUAGAAGAGAUUCGAAAUUGAACGAAACAGAGAGCCCUCGAGUUUGCUCUAUACAAAUCCUGGUUCCACUAAGAAUAUAUAAUAUACGUAUAUAUAUUUAUGGUGGGAGAAAAAUGCGCAUAACCCUCUAAAGCCGUAUAUCUUACAGCACUCUAGCAUUCGUCAGAACUGCAGUGAUCGUUAAAAAUGACAAAUAUUGAAUAUAAUGGCAUCGGGUGAUGUGUACGCAUCUAUAAACGAUGCGACUCCUGGGCAAAUCGAUUUCGAAUUCUCGCUUUCAUCAUUUAAAUAUUAUUAUACCAAAAUUAUCAAAGGACGACAACGAAGACAAAAAGAACGGUACGAUGAUAUUAGGACAAAAGAAAGAAAAGAAAACGUGAUACAUAUAGAGUGAUAAGAAAGUCGAGAAACGUUUACAUGGUGUAAUUUUUGAAUAACAAAUCAACGAAGAAAGUUCAGGCAUAAGAAUGUUGCUUGAACUUUAUGUUUGAAGUUAUAAAUAAUUUAAUUCUCUGUUGGAAAUACACCGUUAGCUGCGUAGAUUUAUCCUCCUCAGUCUAUCCUUUUAACUUCUCAAAAUUGUCCUCCCUUUUAGUUUUGGGAUUAAAAACAUCUUGAAAUUGAUGAGUCGCAUUUCCUGUGCUCUAUAGAAGAGUAAUUUUAAAGUUCGACAUAUUGUUAGUCAAUUUCCACAUUAAAACUAUCUCUUCGUUUAAUUCUCGAAUGAAAUAUAUGUUUAUUUAUUAAAUAUAGGUCACCUUCUCGAACAUCUAAAAAAUACCAAUAGUAUAAGUUAUACAGUCUAAUAUCAACGAAGUUAAAUUAACGUAACAACUAAAUUAUAUUCUUACAAAACAUCGCCCAUGUAUUAUCUAUUCUGAGAAAGCAAAUUUUUGUAUCCAUCUUAUCUGACCUCACCACAUUCUCCUCACGUAGUCUGCCCUGUCUCAGAGCGACAAAUACGUGAUCUACGCAGUAAUCCAUGUAUUACCAACGUAAAACCAAAUUGUUUCUAACUUGAAAAAAUAUUCCUCAAAUGAUAUUUUUGCACAGGAACCCUCUUCACUGUCUCGA
rnacentral:lncRNA from 1 species